rnacentral:lncRNA from 10 species
GACCCUAGAUCUUGGCAUAAAAGCCUAGCAUCCUUCCCUGGGCUCGAGCGACCAUGAUCUGGAGACAACAGUAGGGGUUGCCUACAUGGAUAUUUGAGGAGUGACUGCAGGGGAUUAUCCUGGCAGAGAAAGUGAUUCAUAUCAAGGAAUCUCGUGAAGGAGAGCCUUGGGGUGAUGUGAUGUUUCAGCUGCAGGAGACAGAUAAAGCCACGAGAGGAUCUUCACCAUAAAAACAUGGUACAAUCCCUGGAUGGAAAGUUCAUAGAAAUUUGGGGGCUCUCCCUAAGAUGGCAGCCUCUGGGAGUUUCUUCCUCUCACAGUAGGUUACACCCAGUCUUCAACAAUUCAUUGCAACCACCUUAUGCCUUUCAUCAGACUGAGGAUGUUUCCUUCUAUUCCUCCCGAUUCUGGGGCAAAGGUCGCUUGUUCUUAUACCAGGCUCCUCGGAGGUAACCAUGUCUGUGUAGACUCUGGCCAGCCUCAGGUGGCCACAAUCUGAGAGGGUCACACUGCAUGCCUUUUGCCUCAUGCUUUAGAUCUUCCCUGUGGAUAUGAAGCAUGAGAGACCAUGAACAAUUCAAUGUGUGCACAACCUCCAAGUUCAAGAAAAAUAUCCCUAUGCAGAACAAUCCUUUGACCCUUGAGACAAGUGACAAAUACAUUCUUCUUUCUCCCUUCCUAGGAAGGACUGUUCUGAGACACAAAUGUUUCUGGAGCACUAAGUGGUUCAAGUGUGAGAUGCAGUGAAACAAUCCAUGUUGCCUGGUUCAAAGCAGAGGCCAGCUAGGGAACUGGCUCUCCACUCAUUGAUGCACCAUUCUCACUUUUCCUCACUCCUACUUCCCAUCAAUUAUACUUUCCAAUAAAAUACUAGCACAUACGUCCUUCCUUCUGGGAAAUCCAAGCUAAGAAGUUGUGCAGAUGUGAAACCUGAACCUACUGUAUUUAUUUUCCCAACAUGAGAGGAACUUGUUGAGGGAUAAAGCCAACCCACAGGCAUAGGUGAAGCUGAAGUGAUCACAAAGAGAAGGAACUGAGCCCACUGGAUGAAGUCAAUGCUUUGAAACCUGCUCUACUUCUGGAUUCAGAUGUUGUGAAACAAUACUAUUUUUUAUUGUUUAAUCCAUUAUAAAGUUAGAUUAUCUGUUAAUUGCAGCUGAAAGUUUACUACUUAUGCCUUGUUUAAUAUUUCAGUUAUUAUAUGUGAUUUUUUUCCUUUACUUUUAUACUUAAAAAGUGGUUUUCUAUUGCAGGAUUAAGUAAGUCAGUAGUUACCUUUUCUUCCUUGGCAUCUCAGUGUUUUAAAUUAACAUGGUUCAUCCAUGUGGAAUUAUUUUGUGGGCUUGGUGUGAGACAAGGAUCUAACUUUAUCCCCAUUCUAAAUAAUUAAGUACUGUGUCUGCACAAGCCACUUCUUCAUUUUUUAUUUCUCCUGAUUGGUGAUGACAUUGUUGUAGAAUCUCCUCUGCUUAUGAACUUAAAUAGGAAUCAAGCUAUGUUUCAGAGCAAGAGUAUUUUGACUGCAUUUGCCACCAAAGAGUGGCAUUAGUGGUCACCUGUGGUAAUUUUAGUUAACUUACUACAUGUAUUUGCUUUUUUCAUUGCUAAAUUUGAGUUUUCUAACAUCAUUAACCCUAUUAUAUCAGAUAAACACAAUAGCAGUGUGACUAUAGUAAGAUAAUGACAGAAACAAAAGUAGAGAUCAUUUUUAAGCAGUUUUAAAAAAUAGAACAUUACUAAUGAUUGCAAGCACUCAGAAACUUGUAAAUAUUGCACACAUGUGUAGAAUGAAUAGUUCCACAGUCAGAAAUGACCCUGAUGGCUGGGCAUGGUGGCUCAUGCCUGUAAUCUCAGCACUUUGGGAGCCCGAGAUUGGAGGAUUGCUUGAGGGCAGGAGUUUGAGACUAGCCUGGGCAACAUAUGAGACUCCAUGUCUCACAAAAAAAAAAAAAAAAAAAAAAAAAAAAUUAGAAAAUUAGCCAGGUGAGGUGGUGCUGCCUACAGUUCCAGCUUGUUGGGAGGCUGAGAGGUGGAUAGCUUGGCCCAGGAGUUGGAUGCUGCAGUGAGCUAUGAUCACACCACUGCACUCCAUCCAGCCUGAGCCACAGAGCAAGGCCCUGUCUUGAAAGAAAGAAAAGAAAGAAAGAGAGAAAGAAAAGAAAGAGAGAAGGAGAGACAGAGAGAAAGAGAGAAAGAAAGAAAGACAGAAAAAAAGAAAAAGAAAGAAAAGGAAAAGAAAGGAAAGAAAAGGCUCAGAUGGACAAAAGCAAAUUGUGCAACCUAGGAAAGUGUCAGACUCCUCUGCAAUAAACAAUAAUCUACACUAACAAAGCUAAUGGGAAAUAUUUUGGAUGUGGGCUAAAGAAACAUGAUCAACAUCAGUGGCUUGUUUGGUAAAUGUUCUGAGAGGAUAGGAGUUUGAGAAAAUAAAAGCUUUAUAUGGUGCGAGUAGGCUGCUGAUCCAUCCCACUUCAAGGCUCAUUCAAAUCAGCACAUCAAAGUGUGCAGCAAGAUAAAAGGUGAGGUUAACUGCUGAGGGUCUCCAAGCACAUACAGAGAUGUUCAAGGAGGGAGCGGCCUACCCCAAGAGGUGUUAUCAGCCUUCACGGAACUGACAUGGUUUCCUAAAGGAUAAGCCAUUGCAGGAGGAUCAGCAAGAAGCUGAAGGGUGUGCCUGGGUUUAAAGCACUGAAAGACGACCUCUCAAUCUGGUUCAGUGGGAAUGCACUGGGGGAAGCCAGCGCAAACAGUACCCUCAUCAUCACUUGGGCUUAUGAACAGAUGGACCCAGGAACUACAUUUCCAAAUCUAACUGUUCAUAAUUCUAAUCUAUACCAGUCUCUGUUUUUGGCCAUUUAUACUGUUCUAGUCACCAAUCUGUCAAGUCUAGCACCAAUACGGUACUGUUUUAAUUAUUCCCUCAUGAUUUUUAUUUAAAAAAAAUUUCUUGGCAAUCUGUAGCCUUUAUUCUUCCAGAUAAAUUCUAGAAUCACUUCAGAUUGAAUUAACCUAUAAAUUACAAUCAGAAGAACUGUCAUAUUUAUAUGAAUUUUCCUAUGUACAAAUGUAGCAUAUUUCUCAUGUAUUAAGUCAUAUUUCAUGCUUUUCAGACAACUGUGUGAUUUUUCUUAAUGAAACUAUAGCACAUUUUAUACUCUUCUACUUUAUAUAUUUUUUGUUGUUGCUUUAUAUAUUUUUGUAUUUAUUUUUUAAAAGGACUUGUUUUUUAUAAUAGUUUCUGUUUCUUUGUGAAACAUAGGAAAGCUUCUGAUGUCUAUGUAUCUUUUCUGUAUUAUAAAAUACUCUCGUUGGCCUUAGGAGUUUUAAAGUCAAUUUUUUUACUAAUUACUUUUUAUAUUUUUCUAUGCUCUGGUAAAACAUGAGAAUUAUUUAUCUUUUCAAAGUUUGAAAUAACACAUUUUUCAAAUCAGUUACAGUCUUUAACAAUUUUUUUCAGUUAUUUUUUCCUUUUAAAUCAAUGUUGAAAGGUCUUUUUCAAGAAAACGAUCCAUUUCUUUGAAUUUAUCACUAUAGCAUUUUAUACAGUAUUGUGUUACUUUAAAAGUACUGUGUCUCUUAUCCUAUCUUUUUUUCCUGAUUCAAUUUUCCUAAGGUCAUUUAUUGUGAUUAUUUUUUCUAACGUACCAAAUAUUAUUUUUAAAAGUCUGUUUAUCUAAUUUUCCUAUUUCAUAAUUCAUUGAUUUUUAUUUUAUACAUACUAUUUUACUCUCUUUAUUUUUUAGAUUAGUGUGGUAAUCCUCUGAAACUUACUUGGCUGCUUAAUUACUUUCAUUUCUUAUUGCUUAAUAAACAAAAACAUAUAAUGGUGUGAAUUUGCCAAUGAUUCUCUUUUGGCCAUAAAUCAUAUAUUUUGAUAAAUACUCUCUCGUUUUAGGAACUUUUUAACCAGUUUGUAAUUGUACUUUUGAUUUCCUCUUAACCCAAGUUUUUAAAGAGAAAUGGCACAGGUUAAAAAAUAAACUCUUGUUUAAUACAUAUUAAUGGAAACUCAUUAUUAUAUUCAAAUUAUCUUAAUCUACUUAAUAAAGAGUCGCACAGAUAUAUUAAAGUAAACUGUUUUUCUGUAAAUUUCUUUUUAUAUUUCUUAUGAGUUUCAAAUACAUUUUGAUGUUAUUAAUUGGUACAUAAAUCUGUUUCAGAAGACAUCAUUUAUCAAUUACAAUGGACCCUUUAUCUUAUUUUGUGCAAUUUCUUUUAAUUUUAGUUUAUCUGAAAUUAAUAUUGUCAUUUUUUUAUGCUUGAAUUUGCUUGAUUCUGUUACAUAUGUAUCUGGGAAUUUUAUAAACCAAGAGCCUGAUAAAAGCAGGUUUGGAAGAAGUUACAUUCCCUCUUGCCAUCUUUUAUUUGGCCCUCCAUGGAGGUAAUUGAAAAGACCACGCGGUGACCCAGUGUGUGAAACUACCUCCCUCUGUGAGGCCACAGUGCCUGCCCCACCCACACCACCUUCCUGAGGCUUUGUACCUCUGCCACCCUGAGCAGGGAGUGGCACUUGAUCCAAAGAGAGCCUCUGAAAUGGCUGCACCCGAUAUCUCAGCAGGUUACCCCAUAGAGUGUUGAGUGGGCAACUCAAUUAUUCCCUCACCUGAAGAAGUCUGAAAGCAAGACGAAGAGAGUCCUUUUGCAAGAGUGAUGUACAAAGCCCUACGGACAUACAGACUUCGUGUGCAAGUCCUGUGGAGGAGAGGAGAUGAGAGAGCAAUCGGUUGGUGGCAUCUGGGGACAUUAAACAGUGACGUGGACACAGUGAUGGCCUGCAGUGGUGAACCAGUGAGGGAACAAGUCCUAUGGUUGGGGAGCUACCUGAGGCUGGAGAGCAGAGUACAGCCAGGCCCACAGUGGUGCAGCAUACCAGGUCUCCAUCCAGUUGGCUAGGACAGUGUCCUGUGCCCCUUCUUCCCUGAAUCCCCUUCUCACCCUAGAUGACCCAAGAGUGUCUCUGAAUAAUACAUUGCUUCCCAUUUUCUAUUCAUUAUGCUUCAGUAAACUUUUUUAUUUUCUUAUUUUGCUAUGCAAAAUAUAUUGUUUGAUUUUAUAUGUCCCAGAGACUUGAAAGGAUUAUAUCAUGUUCUGAAUUCUUCCGUUUUUCAAAAAUAUCAUUUCACUAAGUUUUAGUUGAUAUUUCUAUAACUAUUAAAGAAAAACAUGGAAUGGAAUCUCUUGAAUCCUAAGUUGAAUAUGGGAAGGGAUUUAGCAUGGUUUUAUUAUACUUCCUUGAUACCCCUUUUUCCUUUAAAAUAUAAACUGAGAUUUUUUACAAAGUCUGUUAAUAAAUCAC